rnacentral:ncRNA from 1 species
AAUGGUAGAGGCGCGGUGCUUAUCAGUAGCACGGUUCACAAGGGCAGGCAAGCCCGAACCGAGUGAAAGGAAACGCCGCCGAAAUAUGCGGGCAUUGUCUUAACCCCGUGUGUUGGGCUGCAGCAGAAUAUGCGGCAGACUGUCACUUUUGUGGAGCGCUAUCCGU